rnacentral:rRNA from 1 species
CAAUAGCGUAUAUUAAAGUUGUUGCAGUUAAAAAGCUCGUAGUUGGAUUUCUGGCUGGAGCGAUCGGUCCGCCCCGCAAGGGGUGUGUACUAGCGUCGUCUCCGACCAUCCUUGUGGGAACUGUGCGGCCGUUAACUCGGUUGUAUAUGGGAACACAUCGUUUACUGUGAAAAAAUUAGAGUGUUUAAAGCAGGCUUAAGCCGUUGAAUACAUUAGCAUGGAAUAAUGGAAUAGGACUUUGGUGCUAUUUUGUUGGUUUAUGGGACCGAAGUAAUGAUUAACAGGGACAGUUGGGGCCGUUUAUAUUUCGUUGUCAGAGGUGAAAUUCUUGGAUUUACGAAAGAUAAACUUCUGCGAAAGCAUUCGGCAAGGAUGUUUUCAUUGAUCAAGAACGAAAGUUAGGGGAUCGAAGACGAUCAGAUACCGU